GUUAUUUUAAAUCUCCUUCAAUUUUUGACUUACUAAAAGGAUAGCAAUCUGAUUUAAAUUACCAAAUUGGCAAAGCUCUAGAAUUAUGGGCAGCGGUGUGCUGAUAAAUGUAUAACAACUGUUUCCAAAAAAGAAAGCCCUGCUUGGUAAUAUCUGCCAAUUUCCAUGGUGUAAAUAAUAUCAUCAUGGUUGAUUUAAAGCUACCAACAUAACGUCACUGAACAUACCAUUCUAAAGACAUGCGCACAAUUGACUUUCAGAAACUGCUACAGGGCAGCUCUAGAAUGCCACUAAAUAAGAGAUUUAGAAUUUUUUUUUCUGUAAUUUUCAUAGUUUGGACCAUGAAGAUAUAUUAUUUUUGUAAUAAUGAAAGAAAAACUCAAAAGUUAUUUUAAAAAUAGGCCCCAACUGAAGAAAUUAUUUCUAGCAAAAAUUGUUUAAUACAGUCU
rnacentral:lncRNA from 1 species